rnacentral:lncRNA from 1 species
ACCGUGGCGCGCGCGACGGCGGCGCAGCGCGCGUUCUUCGCGCUGCCGGCGGAGCGGAAGGCCGCCGUGCGGAGGAGCGAGGCGGAGCCGCUCGGGUACUACGAGUCGGAGCACACCAAGAACGUCAGGGACUGGAAGGAGGUGUUCGACCUCGUCCCGCGCGAUCCGCCGCCGCCAGCAGCCGUGGCCGACGGCGAGGUCGUGUACAGGAACAAGUGGCCUGAGGACCUGCCAGGGUUCAGGUGAUGAAUCCAUUUGCGACCCUGACGACCUUUGGAUUUGGCUAUACUUCUCUCCUGAUCAAUCAAGAUUCCUUCUCCUUUUAGUUAGUUACUAUAUGUGAUGAUCGAUGAAACGAGAAUUAACUGAGACAAUGCCUUUUUUUUGGCUACUAAUUAAAAAACAAGAGAUGUGUGAAACGAGAAUGAUUUGCACGCACGCACGCAGAGAGGCGCUGGAGGAGUACACGAACGCUCUUGAAGAGCUGGCGUUGAAGCUGCUGGAGCUGCUGGCCCGGAGCCUGAAGCUGAGGCCCGACCGGCUGCACGGCUUCUUCAAGGAGCACACGUCGUUCUUCCGGCUGAACCACUACCCUCCGUGCCCGGCGCCGGAGGUGGUGCUGGGCGUGGGGCGGCACAAGGACCCCGGAGCGCUGACCGUCCUGUACCAGGACGACGUCGGCGGGCUCGACGUCCGGCGGCGAUCCGACGGCGAGUGGGUCCGCGUCAAGUGCGUUCCCAACUCGUUCGUCAUCAACGUCGGCGACACCGUGCAGGUGUGGAGCGACGACAGGUACGAGAGCGCGGAGCACCGGGUGUCGGUGAACUCGGAGAAGGAGAGGUUCUCCAUGCCCUACUUCUUCAACCCGGCGAGCGGCGCCAUUGUGGAGCCGCUGGAGGAGGUGGUGAGCGAGGAGAAGAAGCCGCCCAGGUACAGCGCCUACAGCUGGGGCGACUACUUCAGCACCAAGCUCAACGGCAACUUCAAGUGGCUGGACGUGGACAACCUCCAGAUCGCGGAUUUCAGGAAGAGCUACAGCUCCGGAGACGUGCCGUGACCGUGACCCUGAGUGAGUGGUACAAAAUUGUGACCACCACAAGUCCACAAGUGAAGAAGAGCCCUUUAGGUGCUAGCUGACUAGCGGUGUGCACCUACAGCUUCUUCCUCUGUAACCUUGGAAAUAAACUUGUCUUCUUGCCCUUUGUUCUCGGAACAAAGACAGAUAUAUAUAUUCCCUCUAUCUAUAAAAAGAAAAUACAAUUUUUACUUUUUGAGUAGUCAAAAACUGUUUAAAUUUUGACUAAAAUUAUAGUUCGUAUUAAAAAAUGCUAACAUUAAUGAUACAAAAUAAUUAUUCAUAGGUUAGUUAUAAAUUUUAUUUUAUCUAAAGACAUAAAUACUAUCGUUAUUUACUAUAAAUUUGGUUAAAUAUGAGCUAAUUUAAUUGACACGGAUUUCAUAGUUACAUUCUUUUCUAGACAAAGAGAGUAUAUAUUUUUCCGGUGUCCUAUCAUAGAACGAAAGGAUGUACUCGGAUCAAUUCAGGAGAACACACUACUGCACGGUCCGGUCGCUUGCUUAAGGGAUAAUUCAUCCGUAAUGGUUGUUGAAUUUAUUGAUCCAAAAAUAUUUUUUCUCAAUUAUGCAAAAGGUUUGUGCAUCUUUGUAUUAAAAUAGAGAAAAAAAAGGUUUAAGGCCAGUCUCAUGGGGUUUUCACCAGGAUGUCAUGCACAUUUAUUAGAGCGUCAUGUGAGCAAAACUGCACUUUUUGCAUGAAACGAAGAGGAGAGAGAAGGAAGUAGUUUCACCAUGGUGAAACUCCGCGGGCGUUGUUUCCCACGCGGUGAAACGAGAUGAAAUCCCCACUGAGGACUAAAUCGUUUCACCGUCUUGCAUGUGAUCCAAUCAUUUUGUAGUAAUUAAAUACUUUGCCCAGCCUAGGAAACGUCAAGGUGAAACUCAUGCAUUUUGGAGGUUGUUUCAUUAUUCGUUUCAUUGAUGCUCUGUCAGUAGAUUUGUUUUGGAAAUAGUGCAUUGAAACGGGCCACUGAGACUGGCCUAAUACAACAUGCCUUAGCGGCACCUAGAAGGUUAGAAGAGUUGUACAUGGAUGCUCAGACCCACCCUAGUGUACUUCACUAGACACCGUACUUUCUUCUCUCCGAUAGAUGUGGAGGUGAUAUGCAAUAUAACAAUAAGUGUGAGCAGACAAGAGGGUUUCUCAUAUUGGCAUUAGUUGCAUGUUUUUUACAUACUAUGUUAAAUCAAGAGUUACCAGUAUCUAACACCGGGGGUAUGUAAACCCUAUACUAAACAUACCUUUACAAUGAUAUUAACUCCCUUACUGAUUCUAGCAACUAGUUAGGGGCUUAGGGGCUACACCCAGCGGGUGUGCUUGCCCACCCCUGCUAGAUACCAUUCAAAGUCCUUGAGGCUCAAACUACCUUGAGCGAUGACUAGGCUAGCUGUUGAUCAAGGGCUCUCGAUAAACGAACAUGGCUUGGGAGGCAGGGUCCAGAGACCUUGGCCUAGAUCCACUUGGAUCCCCAUCGCUUGGGGGCUCUAGGUGAACAAAUGUGGCUCGACAAGAGACAUCCAGAAUGCUUCACUUGGGUUUGACUCAUGAGAGGAGUGAGCAGAUGAUGGACUUGACGGAUAUUUCGAAUCUCUUAUCACGCACAUGCUAUGGGACUACUGUCUCACACCUGCACAAUAGGGCGGAGAGUUGUUCCCUACCACAGCGAGGUGUCGCUUGCUUGCUUUGACAAGGGUCAUGCCUAGUAGCAUUUGACGAAACAUGACAGAGAGGGCAUGCGAUGGUCUAACCAUCCACAGGAAGUCAAGCGUACGGAGCCAUAUUUUAGUCUCUAUGAAACUCCAAAUCAUUAGCGUAGAACACAAGGGUAGGACAGACUAAGGACGACCAGAUUGGAGCGUCCUGAGGCAAACUUGUCUGCCCUAGCCACCUGCAAAAGCCAACAACAGGUAGGAGCUAUCACCCAUGACCAUCAGAGUGGAUCAAAGAAGACACCUCAAUGGCUCAAAGAUGAGGACGACAGCUAGAGAGGCCACUUUCCUUGGCUGCUAAGAACCUAGAACCACGUUUUGUACUUCUCACUCCCUCCCUUUCCCAAGAUAUAAGGUGAGGGCACCACACGCUAUAGAGGCACCAAAUAGUAGUGAUAGAUCAAUUUGGGAAGAAACCCUUUGCUCUCAUGCCCCUAUUUUUUAUGAACUCUUUCUUGAUCAUUUUAACAUGAAACAAAAACUUUUGCUGGGCUUGGUGUCUGAACUAGGAUAAACCCUCUCAUGUUUUGAGUGCUAACCACACCAAAGUUCACAUAUCGACCAUCUAAUCAUUAGUCAUGGUUAUGAACCCACGACAAAGAGGGAUAUUGAUCCUUCUAACAUUGGUUUCUUAGUCAAAUGUCUUCCCAAAUCUAAUUCCAUCAUCUAAUUGAUAUUUUGUAGAUUUAGGAUUUGUUCUUUAACAUCUAUUAGCUCCAUCAAAAAAUAUGAAUUAUUUCUUUUGCACAUAGCUUACUUCUUGAUAUAUGUAUUUCAUUGCUACAGAAAUGGUUCUAGAAGACAUUGAGAGGGAUCUUUGGAUUGCUAGAGAAGGUGAAUAGCCUAAUAAAUUUUUCUUGAAGGCACAACACUAGGAAAACUUAUUAAAAACAAGGAAGGCCCCAAUAAGGACUACCUCUAUCUAUGUCUGGCAAGCCUAGGGUGAGCACAACUACACACUUCUAGAAUUGAUCAAAGCAACUAAGCUAUGUCACUAGACAAAAACACUACAAGUAAAGAACAAGCGUUGAGUGAUUAAUACCACACAAUAUAUAUAUAUAUAUAUAUAUAUACACACUUGUGGUUAAGUGACUUUGCAGGCACCUAUGUCUGUGUUGAGCCAAGGUCAACGAUCAACGCUCCUCUACAAGCUCAUCAAUAACCCCCGACAUGAGCGCUUGUCUAUGAGAUUACACGACCACAAGGUGCUACUCCAAGCCUCGAUUCCACUAAGGUGAUUCUUCACCUCUCAAACGGAUAGAUGGUGGUAGCGGUAGAGACGACGAUGGAGGGCGAGGGGUGGGGGUGUUGUCUGUUGGCUUGUGGGAGACGUUGGUUGGGCGAUGUAGGCAACAAGGGCAUCAGUCAGAGACAAAGAAGACACAAUGACUAAGAUUAGUGAUGAUGGUAGAGUAAGUGGCGGCAAAGGAUGAUACACUACAUUCAUAGAAGGUGGUGUGAGGCAGGCCCACUUGAGCAAGGGAUGAAGAAGACACUAAGAUUAGCGGUUGUUGCAGUCGCAGGCCUGAUAGCUACAAGGGCGGCGACUCCCGAGGCAGGAGAGUAGGAGAAAGGGUGGGAUGGGAUGGGUUGAGGGUGAAUAUUCAGUGAGGACAAUUCAUAUGGAACAACCAUGAACACAUGUUGUGGAAUUACGACGUAUAUCUAUGUGUAUGCAUCCAACACAUCAGAGGGUUAUAUUUUUUAUUUAUAACUAUAUUUCUUCUAAAUUUAAGCAAUAUUCCCUAUGUGUUGGAUGCAUGAAUCCAUGAUAAGUACUUUCUUUGUCCACCAAUUGAAGUUGUUUUAGCUCUCAUCCAUGUGCAACAUUAAUUGCUCGAACCUAGACAUACACCGUGCAUAGAUGCAUUCAAGAAUUAGUGAACCUGGACAGUUAAUUGGGGGACAGAGAGGAAGCCAUGGUUGCUCUAAGGCCUUGUUUACUUCCACUUAAAAAUUCAAAAUUUUUCAAGAUCUCCUGUCACAUCGAAUCUUUAGACGCAUGUAUAGAGUAUUAAAUAUAGAUAAAAAUAAAAACUAAUUACAUAGUUUGGUCAAAAUUUACGAGAUGAAUAUUUUAAUUAAGCCUAGUUAGUCCAUGAUUGGAUAAUAAUUAAUACAAACAAACAAAAAUGCUACAGUGUCACGAUUUUUUUUUUCUUCACCAACUAAACACGGCCUAAAGGGAUUGUCCUCACUGAUUUCUUUUUUCAGUGGGGGGAAGAUAAUGCAAAGAGAAGCAAGCAGGGACGUGCAUUUGUGUGUGCACACGCACGCGCUAGUAUAUAGCCAAAGGAAAAUGUUUUGCUUCACCAUAACUGAUGUGCUAGGACAAAGCCUCAUAUAACUUUCCACCCUGGGCUAUAGUGGAUCCGGAUCCUACAAUCAUCCAUGACAUCACACGUACUACUAGAACACACCAAGUACUAAACCGCACCAUCGAUCAAAACAACACAAAGUUGUUCAGUACACUCAUCCGCUUGUGUACAUGGACACAUCAGCCAAUUAAACGGGAGAAGUGCUGGAAAACAAGAUUCACCUAAAAUUCCAUCCAGAUUCAUUGAAUCCAACCAGCUCCAACGUCCCAUUUAACCACCCUCUCCCUCUCAUCACAGGCCCCAGCCUCACUCUUCUCACAGCAAGACAUCGCAGCCUCACAACCACACAGCAACGUGAUCGCCAUGGGCGGGCUCACCAUGGAGCAGGCCUUCGUGCAGGCCCCCGAGCACCGCCCCAAGCCCACCGUCACCGAGGCCACCGGCAUCCUGGUCAUCGACCUCUCGCCUCUCACCGCCAGCGACACCGACGCGGCCGCGGUGGACGCGCUGGCCGCCGAGGUGGGCGCGGCGAGCCGGGACUGGGGCUUCUUCGUGGUGGUUGGCCACGGCGUGCCCGCGGAGACCGUGGCGCGCGCGACGGCGGCGCAGCGCGCGUUCUUCGCGCUGCCGGCGGAGCGGAAGGCCGCCGUGCGGAGGAGCGAGGCGGAGCCGCUCGGGUACUACGAGUCGGAGCACACCAAGAACGUCAGGGACUGGAAGGAGGUGUUCGACCUCGUCCCGCGCGAUCCGCCGCCGCCAGCAGCCGUGGCCGACGGCGAGCUCGUCUUCAAGAACAAGUGGCCCCAGGAUCUGCCGGGCUUCAGGUGACGAAAUCAACUUAUCUUUUCGAUCAUAUUUUACCAUUUAAUAGUUUAACAAUAAUUGAACUUUUUUUUGCAGAGAG